rnacentral:rRNA from 1 species
AUUGAACGCUGGCGGCAUGCUUUACACAUGCAAGUCGGACGCAUCGCAAGAUGAGUGGCAGACGGGUGAGUAACGCGUGGGAACAUACCCUUUUCUACGGAAUAGCUCUGGGAAACUGGAAUUAAUACCGUAUACGCCCUACGGGGGAAAGAUUUAUCGGGGAAGGAUUGGCCCGCGUUGGAUUAGCUAGUUGGUGGGGUAAAGGCCUACCAAGGCGACGAUCCAUAGCUGGUCUGAGAGGAUGAUCAGCCACAUUGGGACUGAGACACGGCCCAAACUCCUACGGGAGGCAGCAGUGGGGAAUAUUGGACAAUGGGCGCAAGCCUGAUCCAGCCAUGCCGCGUGAGUGAUGAAGGCCUUAGGGUUGUAAAGCUCUUUCACCGAUGAAGAUAAUGACGGUAGUCGGAGAAGAAGCCCCGGCUAACUUCGUGCCAGCCGCCGCAUAAUAC